CAGGUACUCCAGGAAGGUGUGGAAUGGGCCGGCCACACUGAGGAGAUCAGCGAGGUCCACAUGGUGUGGCGCCGGUGCCGGUGCUGGAGCCGGUGGAAGGACUGGAGUCGCUGGAGCAGGAGGACUCUUUUGAGCAGUUGUUGGUGAGGAGAGCACAAUGGCUAGCAUGGCCACGGAUUCAUUUCCUCCAGCCUUUCCAGUGUCGCGGUGCCCAACACUACCGGCUCAUUUCAAAGCAGGAUUACCAGAAGAUUUCCACAAGAAGAUGUGACAAUCACCCUGUCUCUGCAGUUUCCAUGGGAGCAGAGGCGCAGAGCAGAAUCUUAUGAUGCUGCUCCAGUUCCAGUGAUUGUUGCUCUGCGAGAAUUUUGUGGCAUGUGAAUGUCUGAACGGAAGCUUCGGUUUCUGAAUGCUGCACAUGUUUGGUGGCCACAGGAAAAGGACUCGACCAGAUCGAGAAUUGCAAGCCUGAUGUGAUUACGUGAGGACGCGGCCAAUGUGGUGCGAGAGGGUGGUGGAGAACUGGAGGCGGCGGUGUCGGAGGGACGAGACGAGACGAGACGACCUGUCCCUGCAGCUCAGCUCGUGCCCGGCCACUGUCCUUAGCUUAAUUGAGCACCUUCUCGAGGGGAAUGCAGAAUAAUCAACGGCUGUCGCGGUGGUUGGUGAAGGAAGAAGCCCUGAUCAUGAGAGCGGAGCUGUCAGGCUCGCUCGUUCAGCUGGGCGGGCUCCCCGAGCAGAAUCAUGGUUCGCCAAGAACUCGUGCCGCUUUACAUCCGUGAUCCAACACAGUAUCACUGGAGCGGCAUGAUUAAAUGCUCGUGUAUGCUUUACGAAGCAGAUGCCCAUGAAAAAUUACUGCGAGCGCAUACUAUGUUUGGGUGAAUUUCAGAUUUCUGAAAUUGAGAAUUCAGUGUUGUGGUUGUGGCCUCUGUAUUGCUGCUGCAUACUGAACUUGCCCGUCAAAUUUGGAUUCAGUGUGCGCGACAGCUUUGUUCACGCAUCGGCAGAAA